AGCGGCGGGCGGGUGAGUAACGCGUGGGAACGUGCCCUGGGGUACGGAACAACCGCUGGAAACGGCGGCUAAUACCGUAUGAUGUCCACUGUAGCGAUAUGGUGGACCAAAGAUUUAUCGCCCUUGGAUCGGCCCGCGUCGGAUUAGGUAGUUGGUGGGGUAAUGGCCUACCAAGCCGAUGAUCCGUAGCUGGUUUGAGAGGAUGAUCAGCCACACUGGGACUGAGACACGGCCCAG
rnacentral:rRNA from 1 species